CUGAGAUCCUGCCACUGCACUCCAGCCUGGGCAACAGAAGAAGACCCUGUCUCCAAACAAAUAAUAAUAAAUCAAGACCUAAAGGACAAGAAGACGUUUGCCAUUUGCAGAGCUGGAGAAAAGCAUGGUGGCACAGGAAGUGGCAUGUGCAAAGGUCCUGGGGCAGGGAAGAAGUCAGCAUUCUUCCCUCAUUCUCGUCUUUGCAAAGGUCCUGGGACAGGGAAGAAAUCAGCAUGCUUCCCUCAUUCUCGUCUUUGCAAAGGUCCUGGGGAAGGGAAGAAGUCAGCAUGCUUCCCUCAUUCUCGUCUUUGCAAAGGUCCUGGGGCAGGGAAGAAGUCACUAUGCUUCUAUGCUUCUCUCAUUCUCGUCUUUGCAAAGGUCCUGGGGCAGGGAAGAAGUCAGCAUGCUUCUCAUUCUCAUCUUUGCAAAGGUCCUGGGGCAGGGAAGAAGUCAGCAUGCUUCUCUCAUUCUCGUCUUUGCAAAGGUCCUGGGGCAGGGAAGAAGUCAGCAUGGUUCUCAUUCUCAUCUUUGCAAAGGUCCUGGGGCAGGGAAGAAGUCAGUGUGCUUCUCUCAUUCUCGUCUUUCCUGUGCACCUGCUUCAUCAUCCUCUCCUGUUUGACCAGCAUCUUCACUCCCUCAUCUGCUAGUCUGUGACCAGAACAGCAGCCUCGGGCAUCCUCCCAGCUCAACUUUCCAAGACCUGCAUAGUCAGUAGCCCAGGGUCCUGAUUUUGUUUCCUGGGGCAGAGUCUGAUUGACCCACCUUGGUGUCACUCUGGUCCAUUUGGGGUGGGGGUUCUUGAUUCUGCCAUAACCACUUAGGUCAAGGGUCAUCAGACCACAGGCCAAAUCUCCCCACUGCCUGUUUUUGUGAAUGAACUUCGCAAAAGUUCAUGUGUGUGGCUGCUUCUGUGUCACAGCGGUGGAGUUGAGUUGUGUGACAGAGAUGACAUGGCUUGCAGAGCCAGAACUGUUAGUAAACAGUCACCCAUUACAGAGAAAAUGUGCCAACCUCUGACCCAGGCCAACUCUUUCACUGGGGGCCAUGGGUGAGAGAAGAUUCUCUCAAGAAAGGGCCCUCUCAGGGAGGUAGUGACUGGCUUUCCCAGGAUAUUUAAAAACUGGAAAUCACCUAAGUGUCCAAGAACAGGGGAAGGAUCAGGUAACUUGAAGGAUGCCCAUGUGACUGGCUGUCACAAUACCAUCACUGAUGAUGUGCCAGAAGGUUCUGUCUGCAUGGGGAAAUGAAACGUUCUGAAAGUGAAGAAGGCCGGAGGGUACUAUGUCUGUGCAGCCUAACUUCAGCUGUGUAAUGUGCAUGCAGUAACCAUGGAUAAACCUUAAAUGAGUGCCUUAAGUAUGGGAGUGAAACACUGUUUAGCCAGGGAGUUGGAAGGAUCCACUCCAGAUGGGGUAGAGAGGUGACCCUGUGGCAGUUGCUGAGGAAAUUGGCAGAGCCUGGGCAUGGUUCAAUAUUCCGUGUGCCUAUUUCUUCUUUUUUUUUUUUUUUUUGAGGUGGAGUCUUGCUCUGUCACCCAGACUGGAGUGCAGUGGCACAGUCUCAGCUCACUGCAUCCUGCAUCUCCCAGGUUCAAGUGAUUCUCCUGCCUCAGCCUCCCAAGGAGCUGAGACUACAGGCACGCACCACCACACUUGGCUAAUUUUUCUAUUUUUGGUAGAGAUGAGAUUUCAUCCUGUUGACCAGGCUGGUCUCGAACUCCUGACCUCAAAUGAUUCACCUGCCUCGGCCUCCCAAAGUGCUGGGAUUAUAGGCGUGAGCCACCGUGCCCAAUCUCCCUGUGCCCACUCUUGUGUUGUUUGAGCUUUGGAAAGUUUAAGAAGUUAUGAAAAGUCUGAAAUAGGGGAGAAACGUCCCUGAGUAUUUAGGGAUCAGUAGCACUGUCAUCUAUAACUUACAUUGAAACACAUCAAAAAUACGGAUAAAUGGUUAGAUAGAUGGAUAGGUAUGUGGUACAGCAAAGUGUUAAUUGCAGAAUGUAGGUGGUGGCAGUGUGUUUCAACACAACUCUUCUGUGUGUUGAAAUUUUCAUAAAAUAACAAGAGGAAAAGUUAGGGAGAAAAUGAACCAUGGAGAGGUUUUACAAGUAAAAGGCGGAAGUCUGUCUUCACAAUCCGGUAUUUUAUAGAAUAUUCACAGGAUUAUGCAGCCGCUAUCUCUAUCCAAUUUCAGAACAUUUUCAUCAACACAGAAAGAAACCGCGUCCCCAUUGGCAGUCACGCCCCAUUUCCCCUCCCUUAGUCCCUGGCAACCACUCGUCGGCUUCCUGUCUCUGUGGAUUUGCCUCAUGUGGACAGUUUAUAUAAAUGGAGUCAUACACUGCA